GACGAACGCUGGCGGCGUGCCUAAUACAUGCAAGUCGAACGCUGAAGAGAGGAGCUUACUCUUCUUGGAUGAGUUGCGAACGGGCGAGUAACGCGGAGGUAACCUGCCUUGUAGCGGGGGAUAACUAUUGGAAACGAUAGCUAAUACCGCAUAACAAUGGAUGACACAUGUCAUUUAUUUGAAAGGGGCAAUUGCUCCACUACAAGAUGGACCUGCGUUGUAUUAGCUAGUAGGUGAGGUAAUGGCUCACCUAGGCGACGAUACAUAGCCGACCUGAGAGGGUGAUCGGCCACACUGGGACUGAGACACGGCCCAGACUCCUACGGGAGGCAGCAGUCGGGAAUCUUCGGCAAUGGGGGCAACCCUGACCGAGCAACGCCGCGCGAGUGAAGAAGGGUUUCGGAUCGUAAAGCUCUGUUGUAAGUCAAGAACGGGUGUGAGAGUGGAAAGUUCACACUGUGACGGUAGCUUACCAGAAAGGGACGGCUAACUACGUG
rnacentral:rRNA from 1 species